rnacentral:rRNA from 1 species
CCUACGGGAGGCAGCAGUGAGGAAUAUUGGUCAAUGGACGAGAGUCUGAACCAGCCAAGUCGCGUGAAGGACGACGGCCCUACGGGUUGUAAACCUCUUUUAUCGGGGAAUAAAAUGCUUCACGUGUGGCGUCUUGUGUGUACCCUAUGAAAAAGCAUCGGCUAACUCCGUGCCAGCAGCCGCGGUAAUACGGAGGAUGCGAGCGUUAUCCGGAUUUAUUGGGUUUAAAGGGAGCGUAGGCGGGGAGUGAAGUCAGAUGUGAAAGUUUGCGGCUCAACCGCGUAACUGCUGUUGAAACUGUAUGACUUGAUUGCAGGAGAGGUAAGCGGAAUUCGUGGUGUAGCGGUGAAAUGCGUAGAUAUCACGAAGAACUCCGGUGGCGAAGGCAGCUCACUGGACUGCAAAUGACGCUGAGGCUCGAAAGCGUGGGUAGCAAACAGGAUUAGAUACCCUGGUAGUC